GGGCUGCGAUGUGGGGCUGAGAUGUGGGGCUGAGAUGUGGGGCUGAGAUGUGGGGCUGAGGGCUGCGAUGUGGGGCUGAGACGUGGGGCUGAGACGUGGGGCUGAGACGUGGGGACGGACACGGAUGGGGACAGACCGACGGACACGGACGGGGACAGACAGACAGGGACAGACGGACAGGGAGGGGGACAGACAGACGGACACGGAUGGGGACAGACGGCCGGGGACAGACGGACAAGGACGGGGACAGACGGACACGGAUGGGGACAGACGGACACAGAUGGACACGGAGGGGGACAGGGACAGGCGGACACGGAUGGGGACAAACGGACAGGGAUGGGGACAGACAGGGACAGACAGACGGACACGGAUGGGGACAGACGGCCGGGGACAGACGGACA
rnacentral:lncRNA from 1 species